rnacentral:rRNA from 1 species
CCUGGGCUACACACGUGCUACAAUGGUCGGUACAAAGGGUUGCCAAGCCGCGAGGUGGAGCUAAUCCCAUAAAACCGAUCGUAGUCCGGAUCGCAGUCUGCAACUCGACUGCGUGAAGUCGGAAUCGCUAGUAAUCGUGAAUCAGAAUGUCACGGUGAAUACGUUCCCGGGCCUUGUACACACCGCCCGUCACACCAUGGGAGUGGGUUGCACCAGAAGUAGCUAGUCUAACCUUCGGGAGGACGGUUACCACGGUGUGAUUCAUGACUGGGGUGAAGUCGUAACAAGGUAGCCGUAGGGGAACCUGCGGCUGG